GUGGAAAUGAUGAGACUUUCCCCAGAUGAUCGACUAUGAUUCGAACCGUGCUAUAUUUCUUCUCCUUCGGGAGUUGCAAGCCAGAUCUCUGAUCCAC